CCCUUAGACGUUCUGGGCCGCACGCGUGCUACACUGACCGGCGCAACAAGCUUUUUUCCUUGGCUCGACAGGCCUGGGUAAUCUUCGAACGCCGGUCGUGAUGGGGAUAGAUCCUUGCAAUUUUUGAUCUUCAACGAGGAAUUCCUAGUAAAUGCGAGUCAUCAUCUCGCGUUGAUUACGUCCCUGCCCUUUGUACACACCGCCCGUCGCUACUACCGAUUGGACGUUUUAGUGAGGAUUUUGGACUGAGCCAAUGGUGGUUCACACCACUGUUGUGCAUGGAAAGAUCUCCAAACUUGAGCGUUUAGAGGAAGUAAAAGUCGUAACA
rnacentral:rRNA from 1 species